CCUACGGGUGGCUGCAGUGGGGACUAUUGGGCAAUGGGCGCAAGCCUGACCCAGCAACGCCGCGUGAAGGAAGAAGGCUUUCGGGAUGUAAACUUCUGUUCUGAGGGACGAAGAAAGUGACGGUACCUCAGGAAUAUGCCACGGCUAAUUACGUGCCAGCAGCCGCGGUAAUACGUAGGUGGCAAGCAUUAUCCGGAUUUAUUGGGUGUAAAGUGCGAGUAGGCGGUAAAGCAAGUCAGAUGUGAAAACUCAGGGCUCAACCCUGAGCCUGCAUUUGAAACUGUUUUUCUUGAGUGCUGGAGAGGCAAUCGGAAUUCCGUGUGUAGCGGUGAAAGGCGUAGAUAUACGGAGGAACACCAGUGGCGAAGGCGGAUUGCUGGACAGUAACUGACGCUGAGGCGCGAAAGCGUGGGGAGCAAACAGGAUUAGAUACCCCAGUAGUC
rnacentral:rRNA from 1 species